AUAUAAAAAUUAGUGAUAUAGAAUUGUAUGUAUAGGAUUGUGAUUAUAG
rnacentral:guide_RNA from 1 species